GAACUUUCAAAACUAUCCACGAUGGAUAUCUUGGCUCUUGAAACGAUGAAGAACGCAGCGAAAUGCGAUAGGUAAUGCGAAUUGCAGAACUCUGUGAGUCAUCGAAUCUUUGAACGCACAUUGCACUUCCUUUGGGAGUAUACUUGUUUGAGUAUUGUGAAGUGAAUCUAACAUGGUUGAAGUGGUAGUUGAGAGACUACUGAAGGGUGUGUUGAGUGUGAGUUGGAUGGAUUCCAAAGUCGCGCUGAGCAUUUCAAGGCGAGCUUCGCUCGCUGACAACUUGAAUCUCAAAUCAAGUAAGAAGACCUGCUGAAUUGAAGCAUCUAACUAAGCAGAGGAGAAGAAAAUAACAAUGAUUCCCUUAGUAACGGCGAGUGAAGUGGGAAAAGCCCAAGCCUAAAUCAUUCUUGUAAUGAGUUGUAGUGUGAAGACUGCCAUCAUAGUGAUGAAGUACUGAAUUUGACUGGAAAGUCAAGUCAUGGAAGGUGAUAACCCUGUACAGUAUGGAAUCAUGUUGAGAAUGGUAGUUCGUGGAGUCGAGUUGUUUGGGAUUGCAACUCGAAGUUGGUGGUAAACAUCACCAAAGGCUAAAUAGUGUCAAGAGACCGAUAGCGAACAAGUACCGUGAGGGAAAGAUGAAAAGAACUUUGAAAAAAGAGUGAAAUAGUACUUGAAAUCGUGGUUAGGUUAAGCGCAGAGGUUGAGUGGUAAUGCGUUGAGUGUGCCAUGAAGUGUACUUCGUGGUUUACUUGUCGUGUUAGGUUGUGGUUGAACUUGAGUGUCUGAAGAUUGAGGCGCUGAAACUCGACAACAACAAAAUCACCCUCUUCGUCCCGUCUUGAAACACGGACCAAGGAGUCUAUCAUGUAUGCGAGUACGUUGGUGUCAAACCAAAGUGCGUAAUGAAAGUGAAACGUGUGAUCGUUUUUGACGCGCAACAUGUACCGAUCAUGUCUCUGUGAGUAAAGAUUCGAGUAGUAGCAUGUAUGGUGGGACCCGAAAGAUGGUGAACUAUGCCUGAAUAGGACGAAGCCAGGGGAAACUCUGGUGGAGGUUCGAUUGGAUUCUAACGUGCAAAUUGAUCUUUAAAUUUGGGUAUAGGGGCGAAAGACUAAUCGAACCAUCUAGUAGCUGGUUCCUUCCGAAAUUUCCCUCAGGAUAGCUGCAACUUGUGAAAUAGUUUUAUGAGGUAAAGCGAAUGAUUAGAGGCUUCGGGAAUGUAAUAUUCUUGACCUAUUCUCAAACUUUAAAUGGGUAAGAAUCGCUUGAUGUUUGGUUAAUCAAGUGAAUGGAAUAUGAGUUGCAAGUGGGCCAUUCCGGGUAAGCUGGACUGGCGAUGCGGGAUCAACCGAACGCUAUGGUACGGCGCCUGAUUAUUCGCUCAGUAGGACGUAAAAGGUGUUAGUUCAUCUAGACAGCAGGACGGUGGCCAUGGAAGUCGGAAUCCGCUAAGGAGUGUGUAACAACUCACCUGCCGAAUGAAGUAGCCCUGAAAAUGGAUGGCGCUAAAGCGAAUAGCCUAACCAUAGCCAUUCGACUUAGUAGUGAAGUCGAAUGAGUAGGAAGGCGUGAUGGAUGUAGCGAAGGUUAGCGUGUGAACGCGAUUGGAACAUCCAUUAGUGCAGAUCUUGGUGGAAGUAGCAAAUAUUCAAAUGAGAUCUUUGAAGACUGAAGUGGAGAAAGGUUCCAUAGGAAUCGUGAUGAUCUAUGGGUUAGUCGAUCCUAAGAGAUAGGUGAAAUCCGUUGAAAGGGUGUUCUUGUAACGCCAUCUAUCGAAAGGGAAUCAGGUUAAUAUUCCUGAACCGUGUUAUUCAAAGUCGGUAACGAGUGUCAGAUUGAAGACAUUGAUGGUACUCCUGGGAAGAGUUGUCUUUUCUUGUUAACAAGUGGUUGUGCUUGGAAUAAACUCAGUUUGCGAGAAGCAUGACUGUUUGGUAAAGGUUCGCUUGGAGCGAACUCCGGUGCAGUAUCAUGAGUCCUUGAAAAUUGAAUCUGGCUAUGGAGUGACACGUUCGUACUAAUAACCGCAUCAGGUCUCCAAGGUGAAUAGCCUCUAGUUAAUAGAAUAAUGUAGAUAAGGGAAGUCGGCAAAUUAGAUCCGUAACUUCGGGAAAAGGAUUGGCUCUGAGGGCUAAGUAGUAUGGCAGUGAUGAGUUAACGGCUUGUCGUGUGGUUGUUCGUUGUGGCUUCGGCUGUGAUGAAUGGCUAUGUGAUGAAAAGAGCGCUCGUCGUUGUUGGCUACAAUGAAUAGCUGACUCAGAACUGGUACGGACAAGGGGAAUCCGACUGUUUAAUUAAAACAAAGCAUUGUGAUGGACUGAAAGAGUUGUUGACACAAUGUGAAUUCUGCCCAGUGCUCUGAAUGUCAAAGUGAAGGAAUUCAACCAAGCGCGGGUAAACGGCGGGAGUAACUAUGACUCUCUUAAGGUAGCCAAAUGCCUCGUCAUCUAAUUAGUGACGCGCAUGAAUGGAUUAAUGAGAUUCCCACUGUCCCUAUCUACUAUCUAGCGAAACCACAGCCAAGGGAACGGGCUUGGAAGUAUCAGCGGGGAAAGAAGACCCUGUUGAGCUUGACUCUAGUCUGACAUUGUGAAAUGACUUGAGAGGUGUAGCAUAGGUGGGAGAAGCAAUUCGAUCUUGAAAUACCACUACUCUUAAUGUUGUUUUACUUAUUCCAUGAGAUGGUGCAGAUCGUAAGAUCUGGUGAAGUGCAAAGUUCGUAAGAGCGAACCAAGUGGGAGACAUUGUUAGGUUGGGAGUUCGGCUGGGGCGGCACAUCUGUUAAAGAAUAACACAGGUGUCCUAAGAUGAGCUCAAUAAGAACAGAAAUCUUAUGUAGAACAAAAGGGUAAAAGCUCAUUUGAUUUUGCUUUUCAGUAUGAAUACAAACUACGAAAAUAUGGCCUAUCGAUCCUUUAGAUAUUUGAUGUUUUAAGCUAGAGGUGUCAGAAAAGUUACCACAGGGAUAACUGGCUUGUGGCGGCCAAGCGUUCAUAGCGACGUCGCUUUUUGAUUCUUCGAUGUCGGCUCUUCCUAUCAAGUAACAGCAGCUUAUUACAAUAGUAGGAUUGUUCACCCAUUUAUAGGGAACGUGAGCUGGGUUUAGACCGUCGUGAGACAGGUUAGUUUUACCCUACUGAUGAAGCGAUUAUCGUACCAGUAACCUAACUUAGUACGAGAGGAACCGUUAGAUGCACCCUUCAUGAAUGGACUUAGUUGAGUAGCUAGUGGUCCGAACGGGCGGUGCUUUGGCGUAGGGUUGAAAGCCUCUAAACCUGGAGCCUAGCUGAAUUCAUACGAUGAUUCCCUUGCAAAAGGGAGGCAGUGAUGGUUUCUGUGAGAAUACCUGGACUUCGGUUCACGGGAGAACGCUUGUAGAGUUUUGGAUGAAAUGGCACUGUCUUGGCGAUCGUUUGCAGACGACUUAUCAUUUCCCAAGGAUUGUACGUC
rnacentral:rRNA from 1 species